UCAGUUCUACCAGCUGGGACUGCAGAUGCUGCAGCAUAUCGGCGAAGGAGCGACAACUUUGCACGAGUUUGGCCGUCAGGUUACAGAUCUGGCUGACCGGACAUUGAGGCGUUCCCGGGAUGAUGAGCUAUUCGGAUACGAGGCUUCUUAUGUGCCGCCAGAGGACUACCAUCGCUGGCCACCAGUGGAUCCUGAAUGUGGUAGACGUGGCAGGCGUGGCCAGAGAGGAAGGGUGUCCCACGAGGUCGAGGUGGUCGGCGAGGAAGGGGCCCCCUACAAGGGGGCGUUGAGCCACCCGUGGAGGAUAUUAGAGAUGAUCAGUCGGGUGACCACCCUGAGCCAUACGAUGCUCCUCAUGAUAUGCCGUCAUUCAGCCUGCAGCUGUCGCCAGAGAAUUCGCAGUUGACCGUGUCAGCUUCAUUGUUGAUUGCGGGCACGACCAUUACACAACAAGAGUGGGAUCGGUAUUUUCCUGAUCGACCAGGGCCAUCGACGGUUGCUGAGGAUCGUCCAAUACGAAAGGUGCAUAGUGGGCGACGAUUGAGUUAUGGCUCAUCAUAGAGGGCAACUGAGGAUGUUUCACAUACUUCAUCUACUCCAGUACACCCCGAUGAUCUGACAGAGCAGUGUGUUGCUACUCAGGCGCAGCCCGUCACAGAGGCCACUUUGUGCGAUACUGACAUGCAAGAGACAAAUGAUUUUAUUUAGGAGCCCGCCGAGACCAUGGUUACUGCUGGACCGACAACCGCUUCUACCGAGUCUGCCAGCCUUACUGACGAUCAUGCUGCAGCGCAUCCUCCGAUAAAGAGACGAUGUGAUGAGGAUGAUCCUGAUAGUGUAGCCGGGCGGGAUGGAUGCGUCUCAGGCCAGCGAAUGCUUUAAAGCAUACAGG